rnacentral:misc_RNA from 1 species
UAAAUCAGACAAACCAAAAGGUACAGAAACACAAUAAUGUCCAAAGUCCGAACUCAUCAACAAAUCCAACCCCAACCCAUCUCAAGGAUCAAAACUUCUCUCCAACAAAUCAUGAAAAAUUAAAAGCACUUUGACCACAAUAGCCAGCACAGUAUUGAACCUCAAAUAUCUAAUAAAAUUGGGAUUUCCCACAACAAGAGUCAAAAUGACCAAAAACCCAUUAAGGGUAAAGCUCCUGAAGACUUUUAAAGCUAGAACCAAAGGAAAGAACUGGGCUAUCACGUAUUUCCCAUUCUAGAUUCCAUCAAAAAAUGGGUAA